rnacentral:lncRNA from 1 species
GAAAACCAUAGCAGAUCUGGAAAUCUGGUUUCUGGUCAUACGCGUAUGGCACUAGGCAAUACGCGUAUGAGAUGGCCUGGUACGCGUAUGGCACUAGGCAAUACGCGUAUGGAUGAGGAAGAUGAUGUUUUGAACGUGAUUUGGUCUCUGUUGGUACGCGUAUGAGGAAGUGGUACGCGUAGCAUACGCGUAUGAGACAGGUGAUACGCGUAUGGGAUUGGCGUAGAAAUGGG